rnacentral:rRNA from 1 species
UACGGAGGGGGCUAGCGUUGUUCGGAAUUACUGGGCGUAAAGCGCGCGUAGGCGGACCUGCAAGUCGGGGGUGAAAGCCCGAGGCUCAACCUCGGAACUGCCUUCGAUACUGCGGGUCUCGAGUCCGGGAGAGGUGAGUGGAAUUCCUAGUGUAGAGGUGAAAUUCGUAGAUAUUAGGAAGAACACCAGUGUCGAAGGCGGCUCACUGGCCCGGUACUGACGCUGAGGCGCGAAAGCGUGGGGAGCAAACAGG